rnacentral:rRNA from 1 species
GGCGUGUACUGCUCUGCUGGGCCUUACCUCUUGGUGAGCCGGCGUGGCCUUAACUGGUUGCGUCGGGGAACCAGGACUUUUACCUUGAGAAAAUUAGAGUGUUCAAAGCAGGCCUAUGCCUGAAUACAUUAGCAUGGAAUAAUAAAAUAGGACGUGCGGUUCUAUUUUGUUGGUUUCUAGAGUCGCCGUAAUGAUUAAUAGGGAUAGUUGGGGGCAUUGGUAUUGAGUCGCUAGAGGUGAAAUUCUUGGAUUGACUCAAGACCGACUACUGCGAAAGCAUUUGCCAAGGAUGUUUUCAUUAAUCAAGGACGAAGGUUAGGGGAUCGAAAACGAUCAGAUACCGUUGUAGUCUUAACAGUAAACUAUGCCGACUAGGGAUCGGGCGACCUCAAAUUUGAUGUGUCGCUCGGCACCUUACGAGAAAUCAAAGUUUUUGGGCUCUGGGGGGAGUAUGGUCGCAAGGCUGAAACUUAAAGGAAUUGACGGAAGGGCACCACCAGGUGUGGAGCCUGCGGCUUAAUUUGACUCAACACGGGGAAACUCACCAGGUCCAGACAUAACUAGGAUUGACAGAUUGAUAGCUCUUUCAUGGUUUUAUGGGUGGUGGUGCAUGGCCGUUCUUAGUUGGUGGAGUGAUUUGUCUGGUUAAUUCCGAUAACGAACGAGACCUUAACCUGCUAAAUAGCCAGGCCGGCUUCUGCUGGUCGCAGGCUUCUUAGAGGGACUGUCAG